rnacentral:rRNA from 1 species
GAUGAACGCUGGCGGCGUGCCUAAUACGUGCAAGUCGAGCGAACAGACGAGGAGCUUGCUCCUCUGACGUUAGCGGCGGACGGGUGAGUAACACGUGGAUAACCUACCUAUAAGACUGGGAUAACUUCGGGAAACCGGAGCUAAUACCGGAUAAUAUAUUGAACCGCAUGGUUCAAUAGUGAAAGACGGUUUUGCUGUCACUUAUAGAUGGAUCCGCGCCGCAUUAGCUAGUUGGUAAGGUAACGGCUUACCAAGGCGACGAUGCGUAGCCGACCUGAGAGGGUGAUCGGCCACACUGGAACUGAGACACGGUCCAGACUCCUACGGGAGGCAGCAGUAGGGAAUCUUGCGCAAUGGGCGAAAGCCUGACGGAGCAACGCCGCGUGAGUGAUGAAGGUCUUCGGAUCGUAAAACUCUGUUAUUAGGGAAGAACAAAUGUGUAAGUAACUAUGCACGUCUUGACGGUACCUAAUCAGAAAGCCACGGCUAACUACGU